rnacentral:lncRNA from 1 species
GAUCAUUUCUCGGUCCUUCUAGAUGGAGGAAAGGUGAGGAGAGGCCCUACUCCAUUUAAAUUUGAAAACAUAUGGUUGAAAGAGGACUUUAAGAAUGUUUUGAGGACUUGGAGGAAAUGGCUUAAUUUCAAUGGGUCUACUAGUUUCAUAUUGGCCGAAAAGUUGAAAGCUUUGAAACCUCUCUUGAGAUGUUAGAAUAAGGAAGUUUUUGGCUUGUAUGAGGUUUAAAAGGAGUUAGCUCUAAAUCGAGUGGAUUUUUGGGAUAAUAAGGAGAGUGUUCGCCCUCUGUCUUUGGAAGAGUAGGAAUUUUGGAUGGAAGCUAUAGAGAUUUAUAAAAAGUAGGUUCUUCUUGAAGAAACGCCAUGGAGAUAGAAAUCAAGGGAAAUUUGGUUGAAGAAGGGGGAUAGAAACAUGAGCUUCUUUCAUAGAAUGACCAAUCCCAUAGUUUUAAAAGGCUCAAGGCGCACCAAGGCGCAAAGUAGUCCUGGAGCCUGAGGCGCAAGGCGCAUCUAAGGCGCGGGCUUUAGUGAAGUGAGGCUCACCCUAUUUCCCCUUUAUUUUUCUCCUAUUUUCCCCCUAUUUUUCUUCUUCUUUUUCUUCUUCUUCUUCACUUCUCCAGCACGGAAGAGGCUAGGGCAAAAAAUGGUAGUGGUCUCGGGUUGAAAAAGAGCAGAAAAGGGGGCCAGAUGGAAGGAGUUUUUAUUUUUUAAAGAACAGGGUCCAAAACGACGUCGUUUUAGGCCCAUAAAAUAAAAAAAAAAACUAAAAAAAAACCUAGGGCUGCUGCGUCUCUGCAACCCGACUAGAGGAGGAAGAAGAAGAAGAAGAAGAAGAAGAAGAAGAAGAAGAAGAAGAAGGAGAAGGAGGAGCGCGUACCUGGUCGGGCCGUCGGAGGCGACUCGGGCGACCGCCUCGCGCCUUGCGCGCCUAAGCGGCGCCUUCGUGAAGGGGCGUCGCCUCUCUUCAGGCGAGGCGCCGGAGGGUGGCGUCGCGCUGCCCCGAGCCUAGGCGCGCCUUUCAGAACUAUGACCAAUCCCUAUAGAAAGAGAAACCAGAUGGCUAGAGUCAAAAUUGAUGGGGCAN